rnacentral:piRNA from 1 species
UCAGGUAAGGAUGUUGAGACCCAUG